rnacentral:rRNA from 1 species
CCCUUAGAUGUUCUGGGCCGCACGCGCGCUACACUGAUGCAUUCAACGAGCCUAUCCUUGACCGACAGGUCCGGGUAAUCUUUGAAUCUGCAUCGUGACGGGGAUAGAUUAUUGCAAUUAUUAAUCUUGAACGAGGAAUUCCUAGUAAACGCAAGUCAUCAGCUUGCAUUGAUUACGUCCCUGCCCUUUGUACACACCGCCCGUCGCACCUACCGAUUGAAUGACUCGGUGAAAAAUUGGGACUGUGAUUGAAAUUGCUUCAUUGCGAAUUUAAUCAUGGAAACUUUCUUUAACCUAGGCAUUUAGAGGAAGGUGAAGUCGUAACA